UUUUGUUAGUAAAGGAUAAAAAGCCCACACAGUGUUUCUCUCUUAUCUCUCUUCCAUCGGCGAAAAUGGCGUCGGUGGCAUCUUCGCCGAUAUCCUUCGCCGCUUCUUUCCUCAGAACCAAACCCUUCCCUCUCUCCCCUCGCUUCCUCCCCAUCCGCACCCUCCGCUGCGCCCUCUCCUCCGAGCCAAUCGAAUUCGACAUCUCAUUCGCUCCUCCCAAACCCACACCUUCCUCCCCUCGCGGCAACACCGCCUUCCAACAGCUCUUCAUCCCUUGGAUCGUCCGCGGCGAAGACGGCAAACUCAAAGUCCAAUCCCAACCUCCGGCCCACUUAAUCCAUGCCCUCGCAGACGCCACCACACAGAACCCUAAGAAGAAGGUCAAGAAGAAGAAACCACAAGCUUCCUCCUCCUCCUCCGCCGUCACUUCCUCCUCCACGUCGGAGCCGAAGCUCUCCAAGGCGGCGAGAAGGUAUUACAACGAGAAUAUCAAAGAGCCUCCUCAACGUCUGAGCAAGGUUCUCGCUGCUGCUGGAGUGGCGUCGAGAAGAACCUCUGAAGAGCUUAUCUUUGAUGGGAAGGUUACUGUUAAUGGCUCUUUAUGUACUACUCCACAGACUCGUGUUGAUCCAACGAGAGACAUUAUCUAUGUUAAUGGGAAUCGUGUGCCCAAGAAGCUUCCUCCAAAAGUUUAUUUUGCUCUCAACAAGCCUAAAGGAUACAUAUGUUCUUCUGGAGAGAAAGAGACCAAGUCUGUUGUUAGUUUGUUUGACGAGUUCAUGGCCAGUUGGGAUAAAAGGAAUCCAGGGACUCCCAAACCUCGUCUUUUCACUGUUGGUCGUCUUGAUGUCGCCACGACAGGGUUAAUAAUAGUUACAAAUGAUGGAGAUUUUGCGCAGAAACUUUCACAUCCUUCAUCUAGUUUACCAAAAGAAUAUAUUACUACGGUUGCCGGUGAUGUACACAAACGACACUUAAUGGCCAUCAGCGAAGGAACAGUUGUGGAAGGAGUCCACUGUGUUCCAGAUUCAGUUGAGCUGAUGCCAAAGCAGCAUGAUAUACCAAGAGCACGGCUACGUAUUGUGGUUCAUGAAGGAAGGAACCAUGAAGUCAGAGAAUUAGUGAAAAAUGCUGGGCUUGAGGUUUACUCUUUAAAGCGUGUUCGUAUAGGUGGAUUCAGGCUUCCCUCAGAUCUUGGGCUAGGGAAGCAUGUGGAAUUGAAGCAGAGCGAGCUAAAGGCAUUGGGUUGGAAGAGUUGAAGUUACAGAUUCUCCGAGAAUGUAUAAAAAUCCUUUGCACAAUCCUAUUUGGAGACAUCUUCGGCUUCCAUGAUUGGAAAGGACUUUGGCUCGGUGAUUUUUGUUUUGAGGCCAUGGUUGGAAGAUCUACAGGAUAUGAGGUGCACGAGAGGAUGAAAUUGAAUUUCUGAGUUCGUGGAAAUCUUACCAGAGAUGCGUUAGAUUGAAUCAAUAAUAUUGUUUCCUCCAUGGGUGAAUCCAAGUCAGGUAUGUCGUUUCUUCAGAAUGUGGUUCACAGAAGAAAGGUGCAUGCUUGGGUUCUCACUGAUCAUUCAAUAUUGCUGAAUAGAGUUUUAAUCUAGGAAGCAAUGGUACAAUAAAAAACUCUUCCAACAGCCUCCACGGUGAUAACAAAAGUCUCAAUAACAAGAUAUGAGAAAUCAUAAAGCAUACAUAAGACGGUGAAAACCUUUAAAGCUUCCCUAUAUAUGUAGAUGUAUGUGACAGAUUGUUCUAUUAUGUUUUUUUUUCUUUAAAGAAGUUCGAGGAUGAUGAAAGAAGCAAGAAGAGCUGGUCACAUUUUGAGGACAUGAACAACAUUUUGUACGAGUUAAGUCAUAAUGCGCCAACACUCACUGUUUAAAAGAGAACUUUAACGUAGUGGCUAAUACCAUUGUUUAUAUGA